rnacentral:lncRNA from 1 species
UGCCGGACCUGGGGACAGCCAUGUCACCUGUGUCACCUCUGUGUCACCUGUGUGACCUACAGUGUCCCUGUGUCACCUACAGUGUCCCUGUGUCACCCCGGGGUGAUGGCCCUGCGCUCCAUCACACUGCCGGACCUGGGGACAGCCAUGUCACCUGUGUGAGCUACAGUGUCACCUGUGUGCCAUCUGUGUGACCUACAGUGUCCCUGUGUGACCUACACUGCCUCUGUCACACCCCCAGUGUCACCCCGGGGUGAUGGCCCUGCGCUCCAUCACGCUGCCGGACCUGGGGACAGUGACAUUGGGGACAGCAGUGUCACCUCCCUGUGUCACCUCUGUGUCACCUCUGUGACCUACAGUGUCCCUGUGUCACCCCGGGGUGAUGGCCCUGCGCUCCAUCACACUGCCGGACCUGGGGACAGUGACACUGCUGUCACCUCUGUGUCACCUCUGUGUCACCUGUGUGACCUACAAUGUCCCUGUGUCACCUGUGUGACCUACAGUGUCCCUGUGUCACCCCCACUGUCACCCCGGGGUGAUGGCCCUGCGCUCCAUCACACUGCCGGACCUGGGGACAGUGACACUGCUGUCACCUCUGUGUCAUCUGUGUGCCAUCUGUGUCACCUGUGUCACCUCUGUGUCACCUGGGUCACCCACAGUGUCCCUGUGUGUCCCAAGGCAGCGGUGGCACCUCCAUUACCCCCAAUAUCCCUUUGUCACGUCCCGGUUCCUCCCAGUGUCCCAAAACCGCCCCAGUCCCUCCCAGUACCCCAAAACCCCAUCCCAGUAACUCCCAGUGCCCCAAAAAUCUCCUCCCAGUCCCCCCAGUUUGAUCCCAGUUCCCCCCAGUCCCUCCCAGUGCUCCCCCAGUCCCUUCCAGAGCCUGAAAACAUGAUCUCAGUAACUCCCAGUGCCCCCAAAACCCCUCCCAGUGCUCCCAGUACCCCAAAACCUUAUCCCAGUCCUUUUCCUGUCCCUCCCAGUGUUUCCCAGUGCCCUCCCAGUGCCCCAAAACCCCAUCCCAGUUGCUCCCAGUCCCUCCCAGUA